GUGCUUCUUUGGCAGCACAUAUACUAAAACUGGAACAGUACAUAGAAGAUUAUUAACAUGGCCCUUGCACAAGGAUGACAUGCAAAUUCAUGAAACCUUCCAUAUUUUU
ensembl:snRNA U6 U6 spliceosomal RNA